UACGGAAGGGGCUAGCGUUGUUCGGAAUCACUGGGCGUAAAGCGCGCGUAGGCGGCCGGUCAAGUGCGGCGUGAAAGUCCUGGGCUCAACCCGGGGACGGCGCUGCGGACUGUCGGGCUGGAGUCCGGAAGAGGGUGGUGGAAUUCCGAGUGUAGAGGUGAAAUUCGUAGAUAUUCGGAGGCACACCGGUGGCGCUGGCGGCCCCCUGGUCCGGUACUGACGCUCAAGCGCGAAAGCGUGGGGAGCAAACAGG
rnacentral:rRNA from 1 species